UCGCCACGUCGUCUUCUCCAAAACACCACGUACACUUUUGUUUUUACCCUUCCAAUCACUUGAACAGUCGAUUAUCCACAUGUCUAGGUCUCGAUGGAAGUUUUUGUCCAUUUUCAAUCAUCAUCAUAAGUGAAUAUCUUGAGAGCUAAGCCAAGUCCAAAUAUCACAUUUCACAUGAAAUUAUUUGAAUUGAUUUUGAUGUGAUUAGAUUAUUGGAUGUAAAGAUUAAGAUCAUAGUGUUUGACUGUUUGUAGUUGGAUUUGGUUUAAAAAUAACUUCAUAUCAGUUUUAAACAAUUAAAUAUAUAGAAGGAUAUAUAGUGUUAAUUUAUGGAUUGUAAAUUUUUAUUUUUUUUUGAAAAACCUAAAAUAGAAUUUAUUAAGAUAGCAAUGAAUCUUAACCAACAUAAGGAGUGCUAGGUUAGAGGUCUUACAGUAGCAACAAACAAAGGAUGAUGGGAAGUCCCCAAUGAAAAACUCAUACACCUGUGAAAAUAAAGAAAAUCCAAAAACCUAUAGGAAACGUCUCCUAACAAAGGGCUAUCUCCGAAAUCAAUAAAUAGAAACACAAAAACAAAGCUAACACCACGAUCAACGAAACAACAUAAACAAAAUCCUCAAGCAUCGUCACAACUGCCACAAAAACAACUUCUACCACCCACAUUCCGCUGCUCGCACACAACCCCUGAACACCAACUUAAAAACCUACACCACAACCAACAACCUUUGAAGAACAGUCUGAAAAAAAACCCCAAACACCAUCAUUAGCUCUCCUAAGCACCAUUAACUUGUAAAUUUAUUCUUAGAAUUAUGAUUAUUGGAACUUUACAUUUUAAAGUUUAUUUCAAGUUUUAACAAAUUAUGAUUAAAAUGCUUUUUAUUCUUGGAAAAAUCCUUUUAUUCUCAUGUUAAAGAGUGAAAAUCAUAUGUUUUUAUGUAAACAAGACAUAAUUAAAUGUCUUUAAGGUUUAAUUUAACUAACAAUGUCAUAAAUUGAAUUUCUUUAUGCGAUUUCAAAUCGAUAUUUCAUUGAACAUAAAGCAAAAAAAAAGUAAAAAUAACCGGCCACCCUCUAAGUAUUUUAACACUUUUUUUUUUAAAAUCAAAACACUAAAGUAGUUCUACCCACUUAAUCUGAUGUAAAUAAUAAUACAUCAAUAUUUUAAGAAGAGUCAUAUUAUCAACUCUUUCAACAUUCUAAACACCAGUAAACAAUAAAACACAACUUUUGGUGCAUAUGAUAUGCUCAAUAAUUAAAAAUCCGAACCAAAAAAGUAUAGGAGUAUGUGUACAAGAGUGAGAUAGCCUUUGAAAUCAUUAUGCACUUCACAAUAUAAAAAGCAUAAAACGGGACCUCUCACCUUAGUGUGCUAUAGUUUUCUUCAAGUUAGGAAAAGAAGACUCAAAUAAACACUGAAAUCAGGACUCGUAAUCAUCGUCAUUUGUUUUGUUGAUAAAAUAGUUACUACAGCUCAUCAUAUCAUUAUAAAAAAUAAAAUUAGAAUCAUUGUGAAUGCGUUCAAUUAUUUAAAAGUAACCAUGCAUUUAUAUAUACGAACAAGGCAUGAGAAAGAGA
rnacentral:lncRNA from 1 species